UACGUAUGGAGCAAGCGUUAUCCGGAUUUACUGGGUGUAAAGGGUGCGUAGGUGGCAGGGCAAGUCAGAUGUGAAAGACCGGGGCUCAACCCCGGGGCUGCAUUUGAAACUGCUUUGCUGGAGUGCAGGAGAGGCAGGCGGAAUUCCUAGUGUAGCGGUGAAAUGCGUAGAUAUUAGGAGGAACACCAGUGGCGAAGGCGGCCUGCUGGACUGAUACUGACACUGAGGCACGAAAGCGUGGGGAGCAAACAGG
rnacentral:rRNA from 1 species